UGUUAUAAUGAUAUUCAUACACAAGUGUCAUCGCAUUGGAAUGUUUAUCACGUGCGUGGGUGGAAAACAUCUGCAAUUAUUAGUGGGGGUGGAGCUUCGGUCACAUGACACUGUACUUAGCUUUCUGAAGUUGACCGUAGCUAGUUGAUCGUGUAAAACCCUGAAAAACUAUUUGUUGUAAGCUACCUAGUAGUUAUUAAAGGCCUUAACUAAGACUAUUAGAUAGUAGAGAACUUGUUUCCUGCUGCGCAAGACAGAGUGCAACCAAACAAGAAUGUUAGGAGGAGAUCUCGGGGACAAUUCAGGAUUUCAUCAGUAUAUGAUAUGUACAUCAGGAUUCCAAGAAAAGAUAGGAUCUAACUAAGCUGGAACAAAUGGUUUUUUUAUAAUCUAGUUUUACAAGGAAAUUUCAUGUUAAUUGGUCACAUGAUCUUUUUUUUCAUUAAGGAAACUUAAAUUAUUAUGACAAAACAAAAUGUGCAAUUACUAUGUUUAAUAUUGAAUACUUUUUGAUAUAUGUGACGUUGGCUGUUCUUGAUUCUG